rnacentral:rRNA from 1 species
AUUGAACGCUGGCGGCAUGCCUUACACAUGCAAGUCGAACGGCAGCACGGGAGCAAUCCUGGUGGCGAGUGGCGAACGGGUGAGUAAUAUAUCGGAACGUGCCUAGUCGUGGGGGAUAACGCAGCGAAAGCUGUGCUAAUACCGCAUACGAUCUAAGGAUGAAAGCGGGGGAUCGCAAGACCUCGCGCGAUUGGAGCGGCCGAUAUCAGAUUAGCUAGUUGGUGGGGUAAAGGCCCACCAAGGCGACGAUCUGUAGCUGGUCUGAGAGGACGACCAGCCACACUGGAAAUGAGACACGGUCCAGACUCCUACGGGAGGCAGCAGUGGGGAAUUUUGGACAAUGGGCGCAAGCCUGAUCCAGCAAUGCCGCGUGCAGGAUGAAGGCCUUCGGGUUGUAAACUGCUUUUGUACGGAACGAAACGGCCCUUUCUAAUACAGGGGGCUAAUGACGGUACCGUAAGAAUAAGCACCGGCUAACUACGUGCCAGCAGCCGCAGUAACAC